UACAGAGGGGGCGAGCGUUGUUCGGAAUUACUGGGCGUAAAGGGCGCGUAGGCGGCCUUCUAAGUCGAACGUGAAAUCCCCCGGCUUAACCUGGGAACUGCGUCUGAUACUGGACGGCUUGAGUAUGGGAGAGGAAUGUAGAAUUCCAGGUGUAGCGGUGAAAUGCGUAGAUAUCUGGAGGAAUACCGGUGGCGAAGGCGGCAUUCUGGACCACUACUGACACUGAAUCGCGAAAGCUAGGGGAGCAAACGGG
rnacentral:rRNA from 1 species